CAGCAGCCGCGGUAAUACGGAGGGGGCUAGCGUUGUUCGGAAUUACUGGGCGUAAAGCGCACGUAGGCGGCUUUGUAAGUCAGAGGUGAAAGCCCGGGGCUCAACCCCGGAAUUGCCUUUGAGACUGCAUCGCUUGAAUCCAGGAGAGGUGAGUGGAAUUCCGAGUGUAGAGGUGAAAUUCGUAGAUAUUCGGAAGAACACCAGUGGCGAAGGCGGCUCACUGGACUGGUAUUGACGCUGAGGUGCGAAAGCGUGGGGAGCAAACAGGAUUAGAUACCCCGGUAGUCCCUGUCUCUUAUAC
rnacentral:rRNA from 1 species